UGAAUACGAGGCACUAAGGUGCUGAAGUAGUGUAUGUCAUACUUCCAAGAAAAGCUUGCACUAUCGUAAGAUAAAAAUGCCUGUACCAUAACCGACACAGGUGGGUAGGUAGAGUAUACUAAGGGGCGCGAGAUAACUCUCUCUAAGGAACUCGGCAAAAUAACUCCGUAACUUCGGGAGAAGGAGUGCCUUAUUCUAUAAGGUUGCAAUAACAAGAUCCAAGCAACUGUUUAUCAAAAACACAGGUCUCCGCUAAGUCGUAAGACGAUGUAUGGGGGCUGACGCCUGCCCAGUGCCAGAAGGUUAAAGAAGUCGGUUAGCAAUUGCGAAGCUGGUAACUGAAGCCCUGGUGAACGGCGGCCGUAACAAUAACGGUCCUAAGGUAGCGAAAUUCCUUGUCGGGUAAGUUCCGACCCGCACGAAAGGCGUAAUGAUUUGGAUACUGUCUCGGAGAGGGACUCGGUGAAAUAGACUUGUCUGUGAAGAUGCGGACUACCUGCACCAGGACAGAAAGACCCUAUGAAGCUUUACUGUAACUUGAAAUUGAAAUUGGACUUUAUUCGCGCAGUAUAUGUGGGAGGCGUUGAUUAUAAUCUUGUGGGAUUAUUGGAGCCAUUAGUGAGAUACCACUCUUGUAAUGUUAGAUUUCUAACUUUGAAUCAUGAUCUGGUCAAAGAACAGUUUCAGGCGGGCAGUUUGACUGGGGCGGUCGCCUCCUAAAUGGUAACGGAGGCGUACAAAGGUUUCCUCUGAACGGGUAGAAAUCGUAUCUAGAGUGUAAAGGCAUAAGGAAGCUUGACUGUGAGACCUACAAGUCGAGCAGGGACGAAAGUCGGUCUUAGUGAUCUGACGGUACUGAGUGGAAAGGCCGUCACUCAACGGAUAAAAGUUACUCUAAGGAUAACAGGCUGAUCUCCCCCAAGAGUUCACAUCGACGGGGAGGUUUGGCACCUCGAUGUCGGCUCAUCGCAUCCUGGGGCGGUAGUACGUCCCAAGGGUUGGGCUGUUCGCCCAUGAAAGCGGUACGCGAGCUGGGUUCAGAACGUCGUGAGACAGUUCGGUCCAUAUCCGGUGUAGGCGUUAGAAUAUUGAGAGGAGCCUUCUUUAGUACGAGAGGACCGAGAAGGACAUACCUCUGGUGUACCAGUUAUCGUGCCAACGGUAAACGCUGGGUAGCUAUGUAUGGAGUGGAUAACCGCUGAAAGCAUCUAAGUGGGAAGCCCACCUCAAGAUAAGUAUUCUC
rnacentral:rRNA from 1 species